UACAGAGGGGCAAGCGUUAUUCGGAAUUAUUGGGCGUAAAGGGCGCGUAGGCGGCCUGGCAAGUGGAUGGUGAAAUCCCUCGGCUUAACCGAGGAACUGCCAUCCAGACUGCUUGGCUUGAGACCGGGAGAGGUGAGUGGAAUUCCCAGUGUAGCGGUGAAAUGCGUAGAUAUUGGGAGGAACACCAGUGGCGAAGGCGGCUCACUGGACCGGUACUGACGCUGAGGCGCGAAAGCGUGGGGAUCAAACAGGG
rnacentral:rRNA from 1 species